rnacentral:rRNA from 1 species
GUGUCAGCCGCCGCGGUAAUACGUAGGUGGCAAGCGAUACUCGGAAUCACUAGGCGUAAAGCGCAGGUAGGAGGUUGGAUAAGUCUCUUGUGAAAGCUCCCGGCUUAACUGGGAGAGGUCAAGGGAAACUGUUCAGCUAGAGUUCGGUAGAGGAAGAUGGAAUUCCCGGUGUAGCGGUGAAAUGCGUAGAUAUCGGGAGGAAUACCUAUGGCGAAAGCAGUCUUCUGGACCGUAACUGACUCUGAUCUGCGAAAGCUAGGGGAGCAAACAGGAUUAGAAACCCGCGUAGUCC